ensembl:snoRNA SNORD116 Small nucleolar RNA SNORD116
GGAUCGAUGAUGACUCCCUCAUAUGCAUUCCUUGGAAAAGCUGAACAAAAUGAGUGAGAACUCCUACCGUCGUUCUCAUCGAAUCUGAGGUCC